UACGGAGGGGGCAAGCGUUAUUCGGAUUUACUGGGCGUAAAGGGUGCGUAGGCGGUCGUGCAAGUCUGAUGUGAAAUCUUCACCACUCAACGGGAAGAGGUCAUUGGAAACUGCGCGACUUGAGUUUGGUAGAGGCUAGCGGAAUUCCUGGUGUAGCGGUGGAAUGUGUAGAUAUCAGGAAGAACACCUGUGGCGAAGGCGGCUAGCUGGGCCAAUACUGACGCUGAGGCACGAAAGCGUGGGGAGCAAACGGG
rnacentral:rRNA from 1 species